rnacentral:rRNA from 1 species
UGUUAGUGGAAGCGUCUGGAAAGGCGCGCGAUACAGGGUGACAGCCCCGUACACAAAAAUGCACAUACUGUGAGCUCGAUGAGUAGGGCGGGACACGUGGUAUCCUGUCUGAAUAUGGGGGGACCAUCCUCCAAGGCUAAAUACUCCUGACUGACCGAUAGUGAACCAGUACCGUGAGGGAAAGGCGAAAAGAACCCCGGCGAGGGGAGUGAAAAAGAACCUGAAACCGUGUACGUACAAGCAGUGGGAGCACGCUUCGGCGUGUGACUGCGUACCUUUUGUAUAAUGGGUCAGCGACUUAUAUUCUGUAGCAAGGUUAACCGAAUAGGGGAGCCGAAGGGAAACCGAGUCUUAACUGGGCGUUAAGUUGCAGGGUAUAGACCCGAAACCCGGUGAUCUAGCCAUGGGCAGGUUGAAGGUUGGGUAACACUAACUGGAGGACCGAACCGACUAAUGUUGAAAAAUUAGCGGAUGACUUGUGGCUGGGGGUGAAAGGCCAAUCAAACCGGGAGAUAGCUGGUUCUCCCCGAAAGCUAUUUAGGUAGCGCCUCGUGAAUUCAUCUCCGGGGGUAGAGCACUGUUUCGGCAAGGGGGUCAUCCCGACUUACCAACCCGAUGCAAACUGCGAAUACCGGAGAAUGUUAUCACGGGAGACACACGGCGGGUGCUAACGUCCGUCGUGAAGAGGGAAACAACCCAGACCGCCAGCUAAGGUCCCAAAGUCAUGGUUAAGUGGGAAACGAUGUGGGAAGGCCCAGACAGCCAGGAUGUUGGCUUAGAAGCAGCCAUCAUUUAAAGAAAGCGUAAUAGCUCACUGGUCGAGUCGGCCUGCGCGGAAGAUGUAACGGGGCUAAACCAUG